ACUGCAUUACAACUCAUGACCUUCUGAUUCCCAGCUGGGGGAAGAGUUUCCUAAUACUGCAACGUGACGAUGUUCGCCGCUGAGUCUUCCCUGAAAACCAGGAGGAAAAGCACGGACUACAGAAGGGAAGAGACCUGCACCGGGAAGAGCGAGAAAGAAAAUCCCAGCAGGCCUGAUUGACCUGGCCUCCUUUCAUUCAUUCAUUUCAUUCAAUAGUAUUUAUUGA